rnacentral:rRNA from 1 species
GAUGAACGCUGGCGGCGGGCCUAAUACAUGCAAGUCGAGCGAACGGACGAGAAGCUUGCUUCGCUGAUGUUACGGGCGGAUGGGUGAUUAACACGUGGAUAACCUACCUAGAAGACUGGGAUAACUUCGGGAAACCUGAGCUAACAUCGGAUAAGAUGUUGAACCUCAUGGUUCAAAAGUGAAAGAGGGACUUGCUGUCACUAGUACAUGGAUCCGCGCUGCAUUAGCUAGUUGGUACGGUAACGGCUUACCAAGGCAACGAUGCAUAGCCGACCUGAGAGGAUGAUCAGCCACACUGGAACUGAGACACGGUCCAGACUCCUACGGGAGGCAGCAGUGGGGAAUCUUCCACAAUGGGCGAAAGCCUGACCGAGCAACGCCGCGUGAGUGAUGAAGGUCUUCGGAUCGUAAAACUCUGUUAUUUGGGAAGAACAUAUGUAAGAGUAACUCUGCACAUCUUGACGGUACCUAAUCAGAAAGCAACGGCUAACUACGUG